rnacentral:rRNA from 1 species
UAGGGAAUAUUAGUAAUGGGCGAAAGCCUGAACUAGCAACGCCGCGUGUGCGAAGAAGGCCUUCGGGUUGUAAAGCACUUUUUGAGAGGAUGAGGAAGGGCGGUACUCUCAGAAUAAGUCUCGGCUAACUACGUGCCAGCAGCCGCGGUAACACGUAGGAGGCAAACGUUAUCCGGAUUUACUGGGCGUAAAGCGCGUGUAGGUGGUUUGGUAAGUAGGGCGUGAAAGCUCCUGGCUCAACUGGGAGAGGCUGUUCUAAACUGCCG